AUCAAACCACUGUAGUUCAAUAGAAUCGGUAUUUCUGAUGUUCGUACCAACUUUUGGGUUCGACGGAUGUAUAUAUUUUGAACCCUUCAAAUCUAUUUCUUUUGGACAUCCAAUUUGGUAGUGUGUCCGCUGAUCUGAUUCGGGGACCCAAUGUACUGAGGUUUGCAGUGGGCCUUGAAAUUUGGAAUGGGCUUUGGGCUACAAAUUAAUCGGGCCCGAGCUUCUGAGGUGAAUUGAUUUAGACACCCGUUGUGUUGAACUUCUGAGGUUGGGCUCUGUGACUUGAGAUUGGCUUCGCACUGCCAGGAAGUUCAAAUGGGCCCAAAUUUCUGUAACAAAAGGUGAUCUGGACACCCAGGCUUUUUUCCUUCGGACUUAAAUCAAGCCCAGCUGUAUUUCUUGCCUCUAGCUCAUCAAAAACAUUGAUUAUCACCUGUUCUUUAUCUCCAGCGCAGAGUCAGAUUGAGCAUCCAGUUCAACAGUUAGACGAGCGACUGGUGUCCAAAGUUGGUGCCCAUUUUGAUCUCGAGUACGGUUCGAGUCCCUUUGUGUAUCAGCUAAUUCAAUUAAUCUUGUAUGUAGCUUGUUGUCCUGUUUGCUAUCACACCACCGCUUCAAUUAAAAGUUGCUAGAAGCACUCCAAGAGAACAUCAAGGGUGAGCUUUUCUCUCCAGACACCGAUUUUGAUGAUUUGUCUUGCUUAGUCAAUUCUUUGUGUGGCUUGUUUGCAGUGGUGCAAGGCCAUUUGUUGUGUUGCGGUGGAAGGGAAGGCAGGAAGUAGAAGGCUUUUUGAUGGGGAUUCUCGUUGACUUUCAGAGUAGAUGACACUCUGUUUGCUGCUGCAAAGCACUUGCUGAUAUUCAACAAGGCUAAAAAUAUUCCACCGGAUUGGUCAUACACUCAUUGAUACACAUGUAUCGUAAACGAGAUUGCGACCGCUCCGGGGACCUCCAUAGCUCCAUAGUGACACAAGUAAAAGAGAUGCUGCACAGAAAAAAUGAAGUAGCAUUGGUGGAUCAGAGAGGCCCCAACCUUUUGGUUGUUGGCUUGUCGGCUCCUCCCUUGAAUAAAAUUGCUGAACACUUCUCUUCUCUGUAGCAGUGCUUCGCCUCUCUUGAUGUGUUUUCUGUGUCCGCUUCUGCUCCCCUCUAGCCUUUUCUGCUCCUCCUUCGUUGCCUCUCUGCCCCCUUUUGUUGUUGUAGAGAGCCUUUUUAUAGGCAGCUGAGGAUCACAGUAUGAGUUGAAGAUGACGAUCGCUCCCAUUCAAAUUCAAAUUUGAAUAUAUGAUCAAAGCAGCAACUAACUCCCAUUAUCCACGUUGAAAAUCUGGUGGCUUUUGUUUUCCUUGUUGGAUGGAUAAUUUCAAAUCUCACCUAUCUUGAAUUGGUCUCCAAUCUGAAGCAUAUCCAAGACUUGUUUUGAAACUUGAUUAAUUGCUUCGUACAAAAGAGCAUUACUGAUUCAUCUUGGUUGCUUUUUUUCUUAUUUAAACUUAGAGAUCUGCAGGUGUUCUUUUCCUUUGUUUUUGCUUUGUGUUACAAUGAAGCAAGGAGUCCACUCUUUCAUAUUUUACAAACCCAGUAGUAGUUAACUUGGAUACUACUAUAUUA